GCAUUGAAACACUGGUUCCUGUAAGAUCACCAAAGUCAAGCAAUGUCGAGCCUAGACAGUAUCUAGAUGGGUGACAACUUGGGAAUACCAUGUGCUGUAAG